CUGGCUCAGGAUGAACGCUGGCGGCGUGCCUAACACAUGCAAGUCGAACGGAAAUCAGGCGCUUCGGAGACUUCGGUCAAUGUUGUCUGGUUUAGUGGCGGACGGGUGAGUAACGCGUGGAUAACCUGCCUCAUACAGGGGGAUAACAGUUAGAAAUGACUGCUAAUACCGCAUAAGCGCACGGGACCGCAUGAUCCUGUGUGAAAAACUCCGGUGGUAUGAGAUGGAUCCGCGUCUGAUUAGCUAGUUGGCGGGGUAACAGCCCACCAAGGCGACGAUCAGUAGCCGGCCUGAGAGGGUGAACGGCCACAUUGGGACUGAGACACGGCCCAAACUCCUACGGGAGGCAGCAGUGGGGGAUAUUGCACAAUGGGGGAAACCCUGAUGCAGCCGACGCCGCGUGAGUGAAGAAGUAUUUCGGUAUGUAAAGCUCUAUCAGCAGGGAAGAUAAUGACGGUACCUGACUAAGAAGCACCGGCUAAAUACGUGCCAGCCGCUGC
rnacentral:rRNA from 1 species